AUGGCGGCUGCGGGAGAUCCUCUCCAAGGUCAAGCACGUCCAGGCCAAGCCUGCUGGCCGCCCUCGCGGGUGACUGCCUCCGCGGUGACGACGGCGGCGAUCUCGUCGUCCCCACCCCCGAUUCAUCUCCAAUCCCGCCGCCGACACCCACCCCCACCCCCACCGGUGACCUCCCCUAACCCAUCACCACCGGCGACCUCCCUCCCUUGCUCCUCCCUCCCACGUCACCGCCGCCGCCACACACUGCCGAUCCCCUCACAUCCCGUACCCUCUCCAGUCCCCUCCCCUCCCCUGCCCUCAUCAAAAGAGGAAAGAAGAGGGUUAGGCGGAUCAGGCGGCCGCCAUGGCGCGACCAGAUCCGCCAUGGUUGCCCCGCGCGUUGUCCACGGGCUCGACUCUAGGGACUGGUCUGCGAGGCCCUCAACGACUCGCGCCAGCUCGCCAUCCACCACCCUGCCCUCCUUGUCCCCAUCCUGGAGAAGGUGGUGCUGGGGAUCUUGA
rnacentral:rRNA from 1 species